UACGGAGGGUGCAAGCGUUAUCCGGAUUCACUGGGUUUAAAGGGUGCGUAGGCGGGCAGGUAGGUCCGUGGUGAAAUCUCUGAGCUUAACUCAGAAACUGCCAUGGAUACUAUUUGUCUUGAAUGUUGUGGAGGUAAGCGGAAUAUGUCAUGUAGCGGUGAAAUGCUUAGAUAUGACAUAGAACACCAAUUGCGAAGGCAGCUUACUACACAAAUAUUGACGCUGAGGCACGAAAGCGUGGGGAUCAAACAGG
rnacentral:rRNA from 1 species